AUUAUCAGGAGUUAAUUCUAUUUAUUGAAAUAAUGACAAAAUAAAUACAAUUUAAGCCUAAAUGCCCAAGCGCACACAUUCGUUCUGACUGUCUGAGCAGACAAACAGCCUCACCUGUUCCUAUCAAUCAGACACGCAGUGUCAACCAAUGAACCAAAGAUGCGUGAGGGAGGGCUGAGCCAACUCACUCAGUCACACACUUAGCAGCCGAGGAGAGAGAGGUGUCUAGCUGUCUUCUGGACUGCUUUGAGUUCAACGACAGACACACCUCAGAACUUUGCAGAGGAACUGUUGAGUGGCCAGAGAAUGGCAAGUAGAUGGAAAAGUGGUCUGUUAUGUUAUUGUCUAAUGCAGCUAACAUAAACUUUCAUGGCUUUGGUUUUUAAAAUGGACCCAUCAUCCAUGUCUUGACCACACAAUCAACCUGAUGUAAGAGAUGUUCUGAAGGUGAUGAAGCCCACUGUGGACGAAGUGAAAGCAGCUGUGGAAUACUUCCACAGGACCACAGUAGGUGCUGAAAAACGGAAGUCUACACAACGCCAGAUGGGGAUGCCUGAGCUGAGGCCUAAACAAGACUGCACUACAAGGUGGAAUUCAACAUUUUAUAUGUUGAAGAGGUUUCUUGAGUCAAAGGAUGUCAUGAUCUCUACCCUGGCCAUUGUCAAUGCACCUGUUGAUGCUCUGACCCAAGAGGAAUGGGAGGUGUGCAGAGUCCUGGAACCCUUUGAGCAGGUCACUGUGGAGAAAGAGCUAUGCGACAGUCUCAAAAAUGAUACUCCUGUGUAAAGGUCUCCAGCGAAUCACAGCCAGCCGCCAGAGAGGAGAAGCAAAUGUAACCACAGGACGUGACCGAGUUGACGGACAUGCUAUGUUCAUCAAUGGACAGAAAGUCCUCUUAUUUGGAGGAGCCCCUCCAAAGAUCUGCAGAUCCUCUGAGCUGGUGGAAGGACAAGGCCUCUGUCUUCCCACUGCUUCCUAAAGUCAUGACAGGGAGACUCAGCAUAGUGGCCACAUCUCACAAUCUCUCAUAAUAGCAAAAUAUGGUCAGCAUUGCUGUGUGCUGCUGGUAAUAACAUGGCAAUAAAGAAGAGAGAGAAAAAAGGGACAAGUUUAAUGUUUUAAGUGGGAUGCUGCAGUUUUGCACGUUAUUUAUUUUUCUUUAUGGUGCAAUAUUCUAUUAUGCUGUUCAGAUUAUAUUAGUUUUGAAUGGUUAUACUUUAAAUGCAAAUGUUUAUAGCAUUCUUUUUCAUAACAAACCAAUGCAUUUUUAAAUACAUUGUGGUCAAGGUAGAGUGAUUUCAUUUAAUAAUUGAAUUAGAAUUAACACCAAUCAUAGUCAAACUAUCGCAAACUGUUUGACUUGAAAAAAUACAAAACUUAUUUUUUUUAAAGAGACGGCUCUUUUUGGUGAGCUGAGCCGAACAAGACGGCUCACUGAAAAGAGUCGGAAUGCCCAUCACUAGUGUGGGGGUGCUGCCAAAUGUUUAUCUAGGCUACACCUGCGGAUGUCCCUACAAAAUCAUCCUGUUGUACCGCAUUUGGGUAUUUUAAAUGUAGUCUCUAAUACAAACGAAUACUAUCAGUUUACAGAGUCACGUUUAAUAAUAACCAUCAUUGUUUUCUAAUCCUUUUCUGUUGCAUGUAAAUCCGUUUUUAUACAUGCUUGUGGCGUUAAAGCGCUUAAUUAUUUUUUUUGCACGUCGAUAAUCUUUGUUUGUUGCUAUGGUCACCGGCGGCUGUCGCCCUCUUGUGUGAAGACGCUAGCAGCUUUGACUAGACAAGGGACAAGUGGUGUACUCGGUUGGGAACUCGUCGAUAUUCCGCUGGUUGCCUGAAAAACUCUUGAAUCCUGUUCUGUACUAAACCUGUAGCUACAGGAUGGACCUAUUUCAUGAGCUUCAUUUCCACAAGAGCAUCAAACCAAACCCUGGAGUGAUGUCUGAGAUGUAUCAUUUUUAGAGAAAAGACAACCACCUCCCCUCUGUAGUGUGGAGGGGGUGACGCACCAUUAAAACAGCACGAGAAGCCUG